rnacentral:rRNA from 1 species
UACGAAGGGGGCUAGCGUUGUUCGGAAUUACUGGGCGUAAAGCGCACGUAGGCGGAUACUUAAGUCAGGGGUGAAAUCCCGGGGCUCAACCCCCGGAACUGCCUUUGAAUACUGGGUAUCUCGAGUCCGGAAGAGGUGAGUGGAAUUCCGAGUGUAGAGGUGAAAUUCGUAGAUAUUCGGAGGAACACCAGUGGCGAAGGCGGCUCACUGGUCCGAUACUGACGCUGAGGUGCGAAAGCGUGGGGAGCAAACAGG